UAUUCCUCCAGAACCCCGGCUUACUCAAGAAGAGAGUAGCACGACCCACUGCCAACCCAUGAGAUCUGACGCCACCAUCCUCUGUGCACACCACCGCACAGGCCUUCCUGCCCUCGGCUGUCUCUGGAGCCACAUCUGAUAGAAACAUGUCCUCAACGGGACAUGGUACGUCACCCUGCGGCUCCUGACUCACCUGUGGCUGAUGCAUAUGUGGUACCCAAACAAGAAAAUGCCAUUUGGCCAGACCCUGCCAGCCUGUCCUUGCAACAAGACAAAGACACACUCCCCUCUCCUUCCUAGACUUGACCACAUCCCUCGUGCUCUUACAGGCAAAGAUUUCAUCAGCAACCAAAAUACCACAAGCAUCAGUGUCUGCUGAACCUCUAAAAUGAACACCCACCUCUGAGCUAAAGGACAGUAAAUAAGUUAAUAGAGCCAGAUGCUGCAAAUCCUAUCCCCAAAACGGUAUGUGGGCCCUUCUGGCUAAAGAAAUUGUGGCUCAGCCCGCCUGCAGGGCUGGAUCUGGACAUGAAGACGGAGGAUUCACGUCACACUUCAUGUAUUCAUCAGACAUUUGUCAUGAGCCUACAUGUAUGACCUGUAUGUUCAGUUCACUCGUACUUCCCAGCACUAUCCCUCAGCCUAGUGCUGAUCCACUGCGGACCGUGAUGACUGACCGACACGUGUGAGAAACAGUCACUAUUCACCAAAUGCAAGGCAGCCGUGGUGUGCGAGACGUCUGGUCCUGGUGGUGGAACCUGAGAAAUUCAGUUCUAACUGAGGAAGGCGGCGAUAAGCCAUGUGCUGUGAGAAAGGGGUAUCACGCUGUGAGGAAGGAGCAAGCUAUGAACGGAGACGGAGACGAGCAGGAGAGGGCUGGAGCAGGCAGUGAUGUGGGACUGCCUCUCUGAUUCCAAAGGAGGGUAAGAGAAAGGUAUCCAGCAGAAACAAGGAGGUAGAAGUCCUGAGGCAGGAGUAGCCUGUGUCAAGUUCAGAAAUAAGCCAGAGCAGAGGGGCCGAUGGUCAGUGGCCUGGAAAGUGGUCAGACUGGAGAGAUCGAUUCAACACACUACCAAGGACGACUGGUGACAUCUUGAGGCCUAUUAUCUGGUCUCACUGUAGCCCCAGCCUCCUGAAAAAAUCAAAUUUUCUGCAAGACAGGCAGUGAACUGGGUGCAAUAAACAUUUACCAAGUA